GUGGGGAAUAUUGGACAAUGGGCGAAAGCCUGAUCCAGCAAUGCCGCGUGAGUGAUGAAGGCCCUAGGGUUGUAAAGCUCUUUUACCCGGGAUGAUAAUGACAGUACCGGGAGAAUAAGCCCCGGCUAACUCCGUGCCAGCAGCCGCGGUAAUACGGAGGGGGCUAGCGUUGUUCGGAAUUACUGGGCGUAAAGCGCACGUAGGCGGCUUUGUAAGUUAGAGGUGAAAGCCUGGAGCUCAACUCCAGAAUUGCCUUUAAGACUGCAUCGCUUGAAUCCAGGAGAGGUGAGUGGAAUUCCGAGUGUAGAGGUGAAAUUCGUAGAUAUUCGGAAGAACACCAGUGGCGAAGGCGGCUCACUGGACUGGUAUUGACGCUGAGGUGCGAAAGCGUGGGGAGCAA
rnacentral:rRNA from 1 species